AGAGAGAGAGAGAGGGGAGAGAAAGAGCAGGCCUUCCAGAGAACAUGGCCUGAACAUGGCCUAAGGUAUUACAAUAAGACUAGGCACAAACCCUCAUAUCAAGGCUGGAUGAGGCAACACAGUAGGACAUAAAGGGUCCCAAGGACAGACAAAAGAGUCAGAGAUAACUGACCCACAUUCGCACUGCUGGGAGUCCCACAAGAACAACCAAGCCAUAAAAGCAUAGCACGAAGAAAAAAGACCCAGAAAUAGAUAUUGGAGUUCAAGCUUCAAGGUGAAGAUCUGAUAAGCAAAGCAGCUGGCCACUAGCUCUUAUGUCUUCCUCAGCUCAUAUCUCAGACUGCUCCUAACUUCACUGCUCCUCAGAGUCACUCAGACUGCUAGAGACUCAUGAAACUCACCACUGAAGACCCUGUUCCUAUUUUUUAUAUCUCUCUAGAUUAAAGGUGUGAGCUCUGUUAUUCUUUUAGAUUGAUUCAAUCUCAUGUAUUGGCCUUGAACUCGGAGAUAUCCAUCUAUGUUUGUUUCCUAAGUCCUGGUAUUAAAGUCAUGUACCGACACUGCAUGAUCUCUAUAUCUUAAGGCUGACUUUCCUUUCUGAAUCCUCAAAGAAGCUUUAAUAAAUCAUAAACAAUAUAUCACCACAUACAUGGUUGUGGUAUAUGUAAAGGACAUAGCUCAGACCUAUACAGGGUCCAUGUUUCUUGCUUCAGUCUCUGUGAGCUCCUAUAAGCCCUGCAUAGUUGAUUCUGUGGACCAUGUUCUGGCUCCUACAGUCUUUCCAUCCCUUCUUCUGUGGGGGUUCCCUUGAUCUGCCUAGUGUUUAUCUGUGAGUUUCUACAACUAUUCAUAUCAGUUCGUAGAUGAUACUUCUCUGAUGACACUUGGGAUAAGCACUGAUCUAUGAGUAUAGAAAAUUUUCAAUAUGAAUGAUUUAAUUAACUUUUUACUUUUUUGCCAGCCCUUUUGAUUUUAUCCUUGGUCUCUAGACUGUCCUGAAACUGAAAACAAAGUAGACUGAAAAUAAACUCCCCUGAAGAAUGGAUAAAGAAAAUGUGGUAUAUUUACAAAAUGGAGGAUUACUCGACUGUUAAAAAACAUGGUAUCAAAAAAUUUGCAGGCAAAUGGAUGGCACUAGAAAAGAUCAUCCCGAGUGAGGUAACUCAGACCUAAAAAGGCAAACAUGUUACUGGAAUCUCUAUUACCUCUUGGAAGUGAAAUCACCUGUUUCCAUAGAUGCAUUUUGUUUCUCCAAGCCACUGCAUCAUUAGUCAAAGAAGUCCUGUGUCACAAUGGAUGAGCCUCCAUCAACAAAUUCAGCUGGGGAGGUGUUUUAGAUACUCUAUUUUCAGAAUUAAUGGUUCAAAGGUGCAAUUUUCAUUGCACAGCCACUUCAGACUUGUGUCACUCAUAAGAAUGGCAUCUUUUAAGACCGAUGAACUUCUAUUUUUAGUUUAUUAUAUGCAUUUAAAAGCUAGCAACAAUUUCCAACCCAAUUUCUAUCUGAAAAUCUGAUGCAGAAUGAAUAUUUCAAAGAGUAAUGCUUCCUUUGCAGGUUCAGUAUGCUUGAGUCUUAUCAAACUCCAUAUUGUAUAGUCUGUUUUCUGGAUAUGAAACACCUUACAAAUUUAUUAGAUGCUUUGGCUGUCCUAGAUAAUGCCAUAAGAAGAUGUAGUAACUCCUGCUAUGUAAUAAAUUUGAAUACUCAGGAUA